UACGUAGGGUGCAGGCGUUAAUCGGAAUUACUGGGCGUAAAGCGUGCGCAGGCGGUUUGAUAAGUCAGAUGUGAAAUCCCCGGGCUCAACCUGGGAACUGCAUUUGUGACUGCAUCGCUGGAGUACGGCAGAGGGGGAUGGAAUUCCGCGUGUAGCAGUGAAAUGCGUAGAUAUGCGGAGGAACACCGAUGGCGAAGGCAAUCCCCUGGGCCUGUACUGACGCUCAUGCACGAAAGCGUGGGGAGCAAACAGG
rnacentral:rRNA from 1 species